rnacentral:rRNA from 1 species
UACGGAGGGGUGCAAGCGUUUGUCCGGAUUUAUUGGGUUUAAAGGGUGCGUAGGUGGCGUCUUAAGUCUGGUUUGAAAGCAGGCGGCUCAACCGUCUGAUGUGGCUGGAAACUGGGGUGCUUGAAUGCGUUGGCGGUAGCCGGAACGGGUCAUGUAGCGGUGAAAUGCAUAGAUAUGACCCAGAACACCGAUUGCGAAGGCAGGCUACUACGACGUGAUUGACACUGAGGCACGAGAGCAUGGGUAGCGAACAGG